UGUAGCGCAGUGGGUUGUGCAUUGGACUUAUAAUCCUAAGGUUGUGGGUUCGAAUCCUACCUAA